GAUGAACGCUAGCUACAGGCUUAACACAUGCAAGUCGAGGGGUAACGAGAGGAAAGCUUGCUUUCCUUGUCGACGACCGGCGCACGGGUGGGUAACGCGUAUCCAACCUGCCCCCAACUAGGGAAUAACCUUGCGAAAGUAAGACUAAUACCCUAUAAUUUCCUCAGAUGUCAUCUGACGAGGAAUAAAGAUUUAUCGGUUGUGGAUGGGGAUGCGUCUGAUUAGCUUGUUGGCGGGGUAACGGCCCACCAAGGCAACGAUCAGUAGGGGUUCUGAGAGGAAGGUCCCCCAAAUUGGAACUGGGACACGGUCCAAACUCCUACGGGAGGCAGCAGUGAGGAAUAUUGGUCAAUGGGCGGAAGCCUGAACCAGCCAAGUAGCGUGCAGGAUGACGGCCCUAUGGGUUGUAAACUGCUUUUAUACAGGAAUAAAGUUAGCCACGUGUGGUUAUUUGUAGGUACUGUAUGAAUAAGGACCGGCUAAUUCCGUGCCAGCCGCCGCCGUAA
rnacentral:rRNA from 1 species